rnacentral:rRNA from 1 species
GAAUGCUGACAUAAGUAACGAUAAAGCGGGUGAAAAGCCCGCUCGCCGGAAGACCAAGGGUUCCUGUCCAACGUUAAUCGGGGCAGGGUGAGUCGACCCCUAAGGCGAGGCCGAAAGGCGUAGUCGAUGGGAAACGGGUUAAUAUUCCCGUACUUGGUGUUACUGCGAAGGGGGGACGGAGAAGGCUAUGUUGGCCGGGCGACGGUUGUCCCGGUUUAAGCGUGUAGGUGUGUGUUCCAGGUAAAUCCGGUUCACUUUAACACUGAGGCGUGACGACGAGGCACUACGGUGCUGAAGCAACAAA